rnacentral:rRNA from 1 species
UACGAAGGGUGCAAGCGUUACUCGGAAUUACUGGGCGUAAAGCGUGCGUAGGUGGUUUGUUAAGUCUGAUGUGAAAGCCCUGGGCUCAACCUGGGAAUUGCACUGGAUACUGGCAGGCUAGAGUGCGGUAGAGGAUGGCGGAAUUCCCGGUGUAGCAGUGAAAUGCGUAGAGAUCGGGAGGAGCAUCUGUGGCGAAGGCGGCCAUCUGGACCAGCACUGACACUGAGGCACGAAAGCGUGGAGAGCAAACAGG